GGACGAACGCUGGCGGCGUAGCCUAACACAUGCAAGUCGAGCGGGGACAUACGACGGAGUCAAAGUCUUCGGAUGGAGACGAAGAUGUAUGUUCUAGCGGCGGACGGGUGAGUAACGCGUGAGCAACCUGUCCCUUACAGGGGGAUAACACAGCGAAAGUUGUACUAAUACCGCAUGAGACCACGGGAGGACAUCCUCCAGGGGUCAAAGGAGCAAUCCGGUAAGGGGUGGGCUCGCGUCCGAUUAGAUAGUUGGUGAGGUAACGGCCCACCAAGUCGACGAUCGGUAGCCGACCUGAGAGGGUGAUCGGCCACAUUGGGACUGAGACACGGCCCAAACUCCUACGGGAGGCAGCAGUGGGGAAUAUUGGGCAAUUGGGGGGAAACCCUGACCCAGCAACGCCGCGUGAGGGAAGAAGGUUUUCGGAUCGUAAACCUCUGUCCUUGGUGAAGAGUAAGAGACGGUAGCCAAGGAGGAAGCCCCGGCUAACUACGUGCCAGCAGCCGC
rnacentral:rRNA from 1 species